CUGCUCAGCACUACAAAGCAGUCAGAGGAGGACAGCCUUAGCUGGACCUGUGUUCUGUUAUGUAGAUGCGAGGGAAGGAGAUUAUACAACACCAUAUGACUUCAGAGAAGUGUCAACAUCACUUCUGAGAUUUCAGUGACGCAUGCACUUCAACUAUGGAAUGGUUAGGUGUUGAGCUUGUAAAAUGCUGGACUAUGGCCUUUUAAGUGGACCCUGCCUGCAUUUGCUCCUCAGAAUCCCAUGGACCUACCUUCCUUUUCUUUCUUCAAACGUUAUAUUCCCCCCCUUCCCUUCAAGAUCUUCCUUCAGG